ensembl:lncRNA
CUGUCUAAUUAAAUGACUAAAGUAACAUGCUUGCAGAUUGAGUGGCGAUCAGAGAAUGAAAGGACAUCUGAAGGACAGCCAGGAUGAACAGGAGCAACACAGAAACGCACUUCCUCUACGCAGAUAUGCUAAGUGUGUAUACAGCCAGCGCUGAAGUUGAGAUCCAUGCUGUGCACUAUCGGUCUGUGGAAUCAGUGAUCUGCCUGGCUUCACACACAACAGAACCAGAUGUUGCUCGACCGAAUCCACAGCAGGAGAUGAAGAGCAGAGCUUUCCAUCAUUCCAACAGCAGCAAACAGCUCUGUUG